rnacentral:rRNA from 1 species
GCAGCACGGGAGCAAUCCUGGUGGCGAGUGGUGAACGGGUGAGUAAUGUAUCGGAACGUACCUUUCAGUGGGGGAUAACGUAGCGAAAGUUACGCUAAUACCGCAUAUUCUGUGUGCAUGAAAGCAGGGGAUCGCAAGACCUUGCGCUGAUUGAGCGGCCGAUAUCAGAUUAGCUAGUUGGUGAGGUAAAGGCUCACCAAGGCGACGAUCUGUAGCGGGUCUGAGAGGAUGAUCCGCCACACUGGAACUGAGACACGGUCCAGACUCCUACGGGAGGCAGCAGUGGGGAAUUUUGGACAAUGGGGGCAACCCUGAUCCAGCCAUGCCGCGUGAGUGAAGAAGGCCUUCGGGUUGUAAAGCUCUUUCGGCCGGGAAGAAAUCGCAUGGGUUAAUACCCUGUGCGGAUGACGGUACCGGCAUAAGAAGCACCGGCUAACUACGUGCCAGCAGCCGCGGUAAUACGUAGGGUGCGAGCGUUAAUCGGAAUUACUGGGCGUAAAGCGUGCGCAGGCGGUUUUGUAAGACAGGCGUGAAAUCCCCGGGCUCAACCUGGGAACUGCGCUUGUGACUGCAAGGCUAGAGUAUGGCAGAGGGGGGUGGAAUUCCACGUGUAGCAGUGAAAUGCGUAGAGAUGUGGAGGAACACCAAUGGCGAAGGCAGCCCCCUGGGCCAAUACUGACGCUCAUGCACGAAAGCGUGGGUAGCAAACAGGAUUAGAUACCCUGGUAGUCCACGCCCUAAACGAUGUCAACUAGGUGUUGGGUGGGUAAAACCAUUUAGUACCGGAGCUAACGCGUGAAGUUGACCGCCUGGGGAGUACGGCCGCAAGGUUAAAACUCAAAGGAAUUGACGGGGACCCGCACAAGCGGUGGAUGAUGUGGAUUAAUUCGAUGCAACGCGAAAAACCUUACCUACCCUUGACAUGUCCAGGAGCCUGAAGAGAUUUGGGUGUGCCCGAAAGGGAUCUGGAACACAGGUGCUGCAUGGCUGUCGUCAGCUCGUGUCGUGAGAUGUUGGGUUAAGUCCCGCAACGAGCGCAACCCUUGUCGUUAAUUGCCAUCAUUCAGUUGGGCACUUUAACGAGACUGCCGGUGACAAACCGGAGGAAGGUGGGGAUGACGUCAAGUCCUCAUGGCCCUUAUGGGUAGGGCUUCACACGUCAUACAAUGGUCGGUACAAAGGGUCGCCAACCCGCGAGGGGGAGCCAAUCCCAGAAAGCCGAUCGUAGUCCGGAUCGCAGGCUGCAACUCGCCUGCGUGAAGUCGGAAUCGCUAGUAAUCGUGGAUCAGCAUGUCACGGUGAAUACGUUCCCGGGUCUUGUACACACCGCCCGUCACACCAUGGGAGCGGGUUCCGCCAGAAGUAGGUAGCCUAACCGCAAGGAGGGCGCUUACCACGGCGGGGGUCG